rnacentral:rRNA from 1 species
GACGAACGCUGGCGGCGUGCUUAACACAUGCAAGUCGAACGGAAAGGCCCUGCUUUUGUGGGGUGCUCGAGUGGCGAACGGGUGAGUAACACGUGAGUAACCUGCCCUUGACUUUGGGAUAACUUCAGGAAACUGGGGCUAAUACCGGAUAGGAGCUCCUGCUGCAUGGUGGGGGUUGGAAAGUUUCGGCGGUUGGGGAUGGACUCGCGGCUUAUCAGCUUGUUGGUGGGGUAGUGGCUUACCAAGGCUUUGACGGGUAGCCGGCCUGAGAGGGUGACCGGCCACAUUGGGACUGAGAUACGGCCCAGACUCCUACGGGAGGCAGCAGUGGGGAAUAUUGCACAAUGGGCGGAAGCCUGAUGCAGCAACGCCGCGUGCGGGAUGACGGCCGUCGGGUUGUAAACCGCGUUCGCCUGUGACGAAGCGUGAGUGACGGUAAUGGGUAAAGAAGCACCGGCUAACUACGUG